CACCCAGCAUGUGCCCUGACUGGGAAUCGAACCUGUGACCUCUUGGUUCCUGGGUUGACGCUACACCGCUGAGCCGCAUUGGCCGGGCAGGAAAUCUAAAUCUGGAGCCACAAACCUGUCUUCCCAUCGUAUCCCCUGCUCGGCUUUGAUGAGGAACUCUGUUUCUUUCUUGUGCCUCCUUGACUUUAGGGUCCACCCCCAGGGCAACUGCACCCUGAGCACUGCUCUUGGUCCCUGGUCCUGGGAUGUGGAAGGCAGGGCCCUGGAGCCUCUUUCUAGAGGUGGCACUAGGACCAGAGACCUGCAGGUCCCCUCAGACGUCCCCCUGUCCCUCCCCAGGCCUCCCUGGGAACAGGGUGCAGAAGGUGCAAGGUUCCCAUUCUUCACACACUCAGCUGCUCCUUCCUCUUCUCUGUCCGAAGCAGCCCUUGCUUUCCGUCACAGCUGCAUAGCAAAGACGUGAUUCUUUUAGAGAACUGCCGUGUUUUUGAGCACCGUCUUCCCAGAUUCAAUUUCAACUUACACUCAGUAGGAUAUUAGGUUGCCUGCUGCCAGGAGGUAGAACCUGGAUUCUGGCCAGGUAUGCCUCGGAAUCAGAAAGUUUAAGGUGAGUGUUGACUCAGACAGACCAUGAAACGAUAAAUUAAGCAGUCCUCCUUCACCCCUACCCAUGUGCCCCUCCACAAACCCUGGGAAUGGAUGCCAAGCAGUUUGGUGGGCGCCCAGGCCCUAGGCCUAGCAUCCAUCACUGCUUCCUGCCUUCCGAGCCCCGUAGUGUCUAACAGCACUGUGUCUUGUGACCAACCCUUUCUGCCACCCUUGUCUAUUGUGAUUUUGAGCCAGCUGCUCCCCAAAGCCACUGAGGACUCUUGCCUCCUGGGCAAGGGGUCGGUUUGGUUAGCACUCUGCAGACAUAACUUAAUGGGCGGGAAUAUAUUUGACAUUUGAAAGUUCUGUUCGUCUAGUUGAGUCAUGUCCAGGCAUAAGCAGCAGGUCAGCAGGAAGCACCCAUGUGAUCCUGGAAGCUCUUCCUGUCUUCCUUGCAGUGGGGUCCCCAGUGCCUGUCUUCCUCUUCCUCCCCCGGAAAGAAGAAAUAAGUGGUUUCUUGACUCCUAAAUGCCUCCUCUCCGGAGAAAGAACCCAAGCAGGGAAGAAGCAGCACUAGAAACGUCCCCAGAUACUCCUCUCUGUAGCCCUCCACCUCAGGCACAAGUAUAAACAUAUGAGCAGUGAAAAGGUGGGGCGGGGACCGACUAAAGUGCUUGAAGAAGCGUGACAGCACAUAUGCGCUGCCCUUUGCCCUAGAUCAAUGUUCUGGGUCCCAGAGAACAUGUUUCAACUGGCUUAAGAAUUAGAACAGCCUUGGGGUACCUUUAAGUGGCUCAAAGGCUAGACCUCUGGGCUUCCCUGGGGUCUUCUGGACCAUGAUACCUUCCAGUUGCUAUUUCAUUGUCCCCAGUCCUUCUGACCUGGGUA